CGAGCGCAGCGAAGGCGCCGCCAUUUUGGGGCGCCCCUGUGAGGGGAGGGGGGGGGGCGGCGCCUCAGCGGGACCUCGGGGGGGACCCCGAGACGGGUCGGGAGAGAAACGGGAAGAACCCGGAGACAAUAACGUGGUAAAACCAUAGUUUGUUGGAGGGAAGCGCGGCUGGAAAACUGGGAAAGGACCCGUGGGCGCUGGUGACGGCGGCUGGAGGCGAUCCCAGAGGAGUCCAGCUCCCCCAGCUGCUCUCAGUGGUCACGUGGCAUCAGGGACCCUCAGCCAUAUGCUUGUCUUUGUCACUCGUCACUGAACAGCCGAAAAAAGGGCGGAAUACACCCCAAAAUUUGCACCCGGGGGGAGAUUUCGGAGCCUUUCUUGCUCUCCAUAGAGAGCACAAAAAAUUUAGGCUGAAAAUCCCCAUAAAAAAGGCAUAAAGAGGAUGCUCACCUCGACAGGGGCUGUGAGGACCCCCAGUGACGGAUCCACAGCUUGAAAAUGAAAGGAAAAAAUGGUUAAAAUGAUGAUUUAGGAACAAAAUGACCCCACUAAACCACCCCAGGGGAC